rfam:Corchorus olitorius cultivar O-4 contig03840, whole genome shotgun sequence.
AAAGCGGAAUCCGAAAAGCUUAACAAAGAGUAGGAA